CGCCAACACUGGGACUGAGACACUGCCCAGACUCCUACGGGAGGCUGCAGUCGAGAAUCUUUCGCAAUGGGCGCAAGCCUGACGAAGCGACGCCGUGUGAGCGAAGAAGGCCUUCGGGUUGUAAAGCUCUUUCGCCAGGGAACAAGGGAGACGGGAUAACACCCCGUUGAUUUGAUGGUACUUGGUAAAGAAGCACCGGCUAACUCCA
rnacentral:rRNA from 1 species